ensembl:lncRNA
CUUUGCAGACUCUGCUAAUGUGUUCCCCUCCUGAAGGAUACAGCCUCUAUGACCGCAGGCCCACAUCUUACUAAUCUACAGCCCUGGAAAUCCACAGAGGCUGCUGUCGCAGAGAAAUGCUCCUCCUUCCUCCAGGCAGCCCUGGGUGAGGACACCUGUGUUGGGUAUCCUAAAACUGCUGCCUCUCUGGUGGAAGAGGAGCCUCCAACCACGAAAUACUACAAACACCACAAUCAGUCCUCAAUAACGUGCUGAAUGCCUGGAAGUCCUAACCCAUGCCACAGGCCUGCCAGAGGGAAAUUUUAAAGUCCAGCAGGAUCUGGGAUGGGAUAUAGGCUGGCAAGGUAAUAAUCACACCCAUUUGACUGAGGAUGCCUUGAAAUGAAACAUGGCAGCUGUGGGAAAGAAGAAAGCAAAUGUUGAUGUGGAGACUGCCCCUCACCACCUCCUUCCUCUGCCAAAAUGCAACAGCAAGGUGAUUUCUGGGAACGUUCAUAGUGUAGGAGUUCUCCGACAGCAGUAAACAAGUUACCUGCACAGAGGUGGCUGCAAAAGCAAACUGAAGUAGGAGUUGAUGAGGGAAAAUCGGAAGGCACAGUUAUCGUCAGUCAGCGAGCCGUGGUCAAGUUCAACAAAAGAUUUAAACAGAGCUCCUUUUGCUUCAGAUGAAAUUCUCAUCUGCACUAUGAUGACUCACAGGCUGCAAACCAAGAAAAAAAGGAGAAGAAAUAAUCACCAGGGAAGGAGUGGUGUACAAAAUGGAGGUCAUUCCAAAAGCAACCUGUGGGAGGAUCCACUCUUGUCCACGUGAAAUCAUAACUGCGGCACAGAGCAGGGAGGAUUAUAUUUUUUCUAAGGUGCAUCAUUGUCAGAGAAGUAAUAUAUGAAAACACAUACAAUCAAGGCCUUGGGACCAUUGAAUGAACAUUCCUCUGUCUUCUGGAGAACCUUCUAUUCCCUUGAGACUUGCUUUCUGACUGCUGUUGGAGAUACAACCUUGGCAGGCAGGUUACAGGGCAGAGCAGAGACCAGGGGGACAGAACCCCGUCACUGAGCCAGAGCUGCAGCAGUGCUGACAGUAUCUAGGUCAGAAUGCAGCGAUUCUCCGUGGAUGAUGGAUGGCUGCAGAGCUGAAGGCCAGCACUGGCAGUGGAGCCAAGCACUCCUUUUCCAUCCAAAGGGCACAAAAUCCCCCCUCAUCCAUCCAGCAUCAUUGGGAGGGGGCCCCAUGCCAUAGCCACCAGAGCUGAACUAAUGCCCAUCACUGAUCACUGCUCCACAGAGCCGAGAAAUCAGCGUUGCCAUGGGAUUCGGAUACAAUAAGCCAAAGGAUCUGGAUAUCAACCAAGUGCCCAGCUACCAGGGCCCUAAAAACAAAACUGAUGCUGAAUCUCUCCUCUAAAAACGUCACACUUCUCUUUCUCGCACAGGAGAACAAUGUCAAAUGUUACCCCAUAUUAUUCUCGUGUUUUGAAUAUCUGCACUUUGAAGUUUGUUUGGCUCCAGGCAAGCUUGUGCACUCAAACAUUUAUGUGCUUCCUCCAAACACCUUCAUUGGCCUAAUGAAAGAUAAUGCCUCAGCCAACAACCGUACUGUCCUCAAUGAGAUACAGCUUUGGAAGCCAGCCCACCAACCAUUCACAGACCAUAUAUCACAACGAUGACCAUGAACCUUCUCCCUCCUGCUACUGUGCCUCAGCCCGCUGUGACCAGAUCAUGAAAGGAUCAGUGCUUUCCCUAUAUGUCAUCCCCUAGCACUGUAAGACUGGCACCUGUCUCUCAAGAUUUGUGCUAAGCCCUGGGUCUUCCUCAGAGAUUGAUUCAUGCAGCCAUGGCUUUCAAUGUCAGAAGAGACCACAGGAUCACCCUGCCUGGUAGCAGAGGUCAUCAUUUUCACAGGGUUCACACCAACUCAUGCUUUGUUGAAGCACGUCCCUCAAACAGAUGACAGUCCCCUCUUGAUUUGACAGCUGCAGAGGAUGGAAGAUCUGUAUCUUCCCACUACUGACAGAAGUUUAUAAGGUCAUUCGUGAGGUUUAUUCCCAUUUAUUGAAAGCACCAGGGGAACUUUCCUGUUUGUCUUGAUUCCUGGCAGAAGACAACAUCUAGUUCUGUGCUCCUGACCUAAACUGUUAAACUGUGAUGCCAACCAUCUAACCAGCCUGCCUUCCCAGCAAGGCCUUACUGUCUAUGAAGUGCCCUAUAACCUGGGAUUUUGAGUAGCAAUACUAAGAAAAGGAGGGUGCCAAAAAAAAUGUUCACGCUUCUGAGCUGCUUCUGCAAUGAUGGGGAAAGAGGGCUGAUAUUAACAAGUGUUUGGGGGCAGGAACUGUCUGUUAUUUGUAUUUCAGGCGAUAGCUAACACAUUAUAGGCGUUAAUCUAAUAAUAUUCACUGGCUGUCUGAUACAGGAUGCUUUGUCUGAACUAGCCAGCCUAACACAGAUCGCCGCUUUGUUUCUGCCAUAGUAGAACUUACCAGAACAGCAUUUUUUACUAUGAACAUUUCUGCCUCAAUCCUGCGCGUUCUGAUGCUGGGUAACUUCCUCUCCCAACUGGCACUGAACAAAAAGACCUGGAGUAUAAACCACGUGGUUUAGCGAGCACACAGUGCUUGCUCAUCGUAGGUGGGCACACACAGAGGUGCAGCAGCUGACUGGCCACCACGACCUCAUGCAGAUCUCAGCUUGUUCCCUCACCCACAGCAGUGCCCUCAUGAUGCAGUGCUGUUGUUCAGUUCAGUACAGAGAUGGCUGUGCAAAGUCUCAUUGAUGAGAACAGGGGGCAGUUUUUGAAGAUUAUAUAGUGCACAUUUAAUUAAUAAAUCCCUAUUAGUGGCCCUGGUUAGAAAAAGACACGGCUUCUGCACCUUUUCAGCUUGCAGAUGUGAUGCACCAAAAAAUUCCCUUUCUGUUCUCAGCUCCGCGAUGUGGAUAUCCUCACUGGGAGCUGACAGAAAGCAAGGCACAGGAAGGACCUCCUCCACUGUGUGUUCUGUGCCCACCAAAGCUGCUCUUAUCUACCUCCGGAGAAGACAGAAAAAAGCAAUCUUGUGGCCCAGACAGAUCCCGGUGGAGCAGGAAGCACUGCACCACACAGGGUAAAACUGGUACAAAAUGUUACUAAUCAAACACGUGGAAAGAAACGAAGGGGAGAGAGAACAAAACUGUCAUUACCCACUAUUUUGACUGUUGAAUCUGGACUAUUCAUAGUAACACACCAAGUGUAUCCAUCCUACUGCAGUAACGAGUGACAGCCGACUACUCAACAAUUAGGUUUUCCUUCUCCACCUCCAAAAUUAAGGUCGUAACCUCUUGUAUUUACUUUCGGGAUGUGGUAAAUUAGAGCUUUGGCUUCAUUGCAAAAAUUAAUUAAAGCAGUCACACAAUGGUGCCAUUCAUUGCUGUUCUCGUCCCUCCCCGCAGUCUGUCCUCAUGUCAGCUCUCUUUGGUUUUAGUCCCAAAUUCCAGUACGUGCUCGCCUGAAUGUAUUAUUUGGGUAAGUAGGCUAGAUUUUUCUUUUUGUCUAUCGCCUUUGCUUCGUUGGAAGAGCUCCUCUUGUUUCUGAUUCUUCUGUUUCCUUUUCUGAAGAAAGCACACGCCGGCAGCCUUCAGCCCCAUCUUACCUACCCAGAAGCUUUCACCUGUGUAGUUUGCAGCAGAACUGGGCUCACAGGAAAGCACUCACCUCAAGAUUUCUCCUCACCGACAUCCCAGGUGUCUGGUUCCGUAAAAGAGGAUCGGUGUUCAAGUUGCUUUCAUCAGAAUUUCAAAAAGUAAACACAGCUAAAUAGGAAGAAAAAUAUAUAUAUUCCAUACUUUUGUGGAGCUGGAAGUCUGCCCAUUGAAAUAUGUUGUGGCUUUUUUUUUUUUUUUCAGAAGCCUUUCUUUUGUGAAUGUAAUGCUUGUUUUCAAAGCUGGAUUUAUAGACUGGCAAAAUAAUGUUCUCCUUUAUAGGAGAAAGUGUUGCAUAACGUUUCAUAAGACCACAUCCCGAGGUGGUUCAGCACGCUGUGUGUACCGAUAAACACGGACAGCAGAGAGUUCAGGAAUACUGACCUACUAAAACGUGUGGCUUGCUGAGAACUCUGAUUUCAUAUCCUAUCUAAAGGCUAAAGCAAAAGGAUUGUCUGACAAAGGUUUGGGCUAAUGCAGAUGCAGGAGGUACAAUACAGCAGGCAACUUUGGCACUUCUAUGCAGUUCUACUGAAGUCGAAGUUGACGCUGCUAAGAAGAAAGGCACACAAACUGUUUGCAGAAACGACACCUAUUAUAGGCUUGAUUUCUUCAGAGUGCUUAAUACAAACAUAAACUUUCUUUUUUUUAAUCUUACUGCUCACCUUCAUGAGUGUACUGAGGAAAUUUAAUCCAAACACCCAGAGCAGGGGCCCAGGGCCUUGUCCAGGUGGCUUUUGAUCUCUAAGGAGACACCACAGCCUCUCUGGGCAACCUGUGUCAGUGCCCAGCCACCUGCAUGGCACACAAGUGCUUUCUGAUGUUCAAGGGGAAUCUCCUGUGUUCCAGUUCGUGCUAAUGCCUCUUGUCCUGCAAGAGGUUUAGGAGAUGGCUGGAAGGACGCCUUUACUGAACGUACCAACCUGAGCCAGCAAAUGUUUGGUUUUUUAAACGCAUCCAGGGAUGGUGACUCAACCACCUCCCUGGGGAGCCUAUUCCAGUGCUUAACAACCCUUUCUGUAAAGAAGUGUUUCCUGAUAGCCAACCUAUACUUACCUGGCACAAUUUGAGGCCAUUUCCCCUCAUCCUGUCACCUGUCAGCAGUGAGAAGAGGCCAACCCCACUCUCACUGUAAGCACCUUUCAGAUAUUUGAAAAGAGCAAUAAGGUCUCCCCUCAGCGUCCUUUUCCUCAGACUGAACAGCCCCAGUUUCUUCAGUCUCUCCUCAUAGGACAUAUUCUCCAAGCCCUUCACAAGCCUUGUUGCCCUCCUUUGGACCUGCUCCAGCACCUCACUGUCCUUUCUGUAUUGAGCGGUUAGCAAGAACAUUUCAGCUUUCCACUACCAAAGAACAAAAACCCCACCAGUCUGUAAUGUCCAAGCAUGCACGCCCUGAUUCUCAUCUUUUGUGCCUUGUGAAUAGAGACAGCUGUGGCAUGGACUAUUUUUUCCUAUUUGCUGGGGAGGAGGGAAGAGGAAGAUUGAUAUCAGUCCUUCAAAAAUAAUCAUCUCAUGCCCAGUGUGCUCUGAAUGAACUACAUCCCAUGCUGGAUUUUGAAAAUGUACUGUUAUUUUCGGUUGUGGUUUUUGUUUUUGUUUUUUUUUUUCCAGUGAAAAGCUUACAGCUGAAAAUGAGACUGCAUUGAUAUUUUGCUGCAGAGUUGUUGCCUGUAGGUAGGCUUUAGAUGGAGCUGUUCCGUGCAAAUCAAUCCGGGCAAAGCAAUAGCAGCUGCUAUUUUGCCAGCAAGCAGAAAUGUUUGCAGAGGUACCCACAGUACAG